rnacentral:rRNA from 1 species
GACGAACGCUGGCGGCGUGCUUAACACAUGCAAGUCGAACGGAAAGGCCUGCUUUCCCUUGUGGAUUGCGGGUACUCGAGUGGCGAACGGGUGAGUAACACGUGAGUGAUCUGCCCCCAACUUGGGUAUAAGCCUGGGAAACUGGGUCUAAUUCCCGAUAGGACUGCAGGGUGGUGCCUGUGGUGGAAAACGAUUUUCUAGUGGUUGGGGAUGAGCUCGCGGCCUAUCAGCUUGUUGGUGGGGUAAUGGCCUACCAAGGCGGCGACGGGUAGCCGGCCUGGGAGGGUGGACGGCCACAUUGGGACUGAGAUACGGCCAGACUCCUACGGGAGGCAGCAGUGGGGAAUAUUGCACAAUGGGCGGAAGCCUGAUGCAGCGACGCCGCGUGGGGGAUGACGGCCUUCGGGUUGUAAACUCCUUUCGACCGCGAGGAAGCCACCUGGUUGGAAGGGUGGUGACGGUAGUGGUAGAAGAAGCACCGGCUAACUACGU